rnacentral:rRNA from 1 species
GAUGAACGCUGGCGGCGUGCCUAAUACAUGCAAGUCGAGCGAACGGACGAGAAGCUUGCUUCUCUGAUGUUAGCGGCGGACGGGUGAGUAACACGUGGAUAACCUACCUAUAAGACUGGGAUAACUUCGGGAAACCGGAGCUAAUACCGGAUAAUAUUUUGAACCGCAUGGUUCAAAAGUGAAAGACGGUCUUGCUGUCACUUAUAGAUGGAUCCGCGCUGCAUUAGCUAGUUGGUAAGGUAACGGCUUACCAAGGCAACGAUGCAUAGCCGACCUGAGGGGGUGAUCGGCCACACUGGAACUGAGACACGGUCCAGACUCCUACGGGAGGCAGCAGUAGGGAAUCUUCCGCAAUGGGCGAAAGCCUGACGGAGCAACGCCGCGUGAGUGAUGAAGGUCUUCGGAUCGUAAAACUCUGUUAUUAGGGAAGAACAUAUGUGUAAGUAACUGUGCACAUCUUGACGAUACCUAAUCAGAAAGCCACGGCUAACUACGUG